GCAAGAAUAUAGAAAUAAAAUAAUACCUUAUUUUUCAGAGCAGCAAUGCAGCAAGUGCACACAUCAAGUCUGAAUGAACUAAAUGUGUAAGUGCUUGUCUACUGAGGAGAUAAGUGAAGAGGAGCCUCUUAAGGUUGACAUGAGAACCCAAUAGAUUCAACUUCACUUUCGUCAGUUGUUCAUGUAUUUAUGACCAUCUGAGGUCUUUAGCAUUGUUUGAUUGUUUAGUUCGAUUGUUGCAAGAAAGGAGUUCAGAGAAUACCCCUUAUUUAUUUUUCUCUCUCAUAAUGUAUGUCAGUGUUUUAACAAAAGUGGAGAUUUUAGACAUACAUUUAACAGACCUGAACACAAAGACUUAACAAGUUGUUUCUUUAUUAUUAACCCUUUCCCAAUUGUGCAUUUCACUGGUUAUUGUUAACUUUUUUUCAAAUUUUAGAGAUAAUAAUUAUUGAUUAAGAUGUAUCCAUUUCCAGUGUCUUGCAGUUAUUUAAGAAGCAAUUUUGAUAGAGAUAAUAUAGAAGUGGAAAUAAAAUGUAGAAGCCAUAUUGUAAGGAAAUAGAAAAUUGUCCUUAAAAAACUGAUGUUAUUUUUCAGAAACCAGAUGUGGUUUGUGUCUGCAAAAAUUAUGAAACAAAAUAAAACCAAAUAAAUUAUACCGCUAGAACCUUCACAGUACUCUUCCUAAAAGGAAUAAUUAGCCAUACAGAUUUUAAACGUGUUCAGGAUCAUAGAUUCAAUGAAAUUGAAUUGCGAUAUGUGGAGUUCCUACUAAGUGGUUAGCCAGAGCGAGGCAUAUCAGGCAGAGUGGUGACUCACCCAACUCUCCAAAUACAUCUUCAAGCCACUGCACCUGUGGCUUUCCUUCCGUAUCUCAAGGAAAACAGGCAAACAGCAAUAAGAAUGGGAGGUCAUGUAAAACUGUGAAAGCAGCCAUUCUUAUUCUUUUGAAAUUGUGUACAUUCUUCAGCAUAAUAGAGAUAAACUAGAGUUUUAGAUGUAUCCAGUACAAUUCCCCAAUGCAUAUUCUACCAUUUAGUCUAUUGCUUCUGGAACCUGGACCAAAUGUAUACUUUGUGGUUAUUUUCAUUUUUCUUAUGGCAUAUUCUAACAUCAGUAAUCUGCCAUCUUCAAAUUGGUUCUUAAGAUGAAUCCCAAAUGACCAUGUAUGCUAGAAACUCUUGAUAUUCCAAAAUUAGCCCUUACUUGAGAAGAAGGUUCUAUUCUCCUUCCUGUCUUUGGAGAUAGCAACUUUCUCUAACUUGAAGCACAUCUCUUAACCUUUCCUGAUUUCCCCAUCUGUGAAUUAGAGGUAAUUAUUCCUAACUUUAAGGAGCCAUUGAGAGGAUUAAUUUGAUAGUGUUUGUAAAGUACUUUAGAUAUGUAAAGUGCUAAGUAUUAUUAAAUUCCACACAAAUAAUUUGCAAUUUAACAUCUAAAGGGACUGAAUAAUUGACUUUAUUCUUGUAGGCUUAUAAUAUUUUAGCAAAUCUACAAAUACGUGUUUUUCCCAUCUAACAUUUAUACAGAGAUUAUUAUUGUUUGUAAUAUAGAACAUGCAAAUCAACCCCUCCUUCCUACUCAAGUUAAUAAAAACAUAAAAGGAAUGACUGUCAUUAGAAGCAAACUAAGUAUCCUGGGGGAAAGUAUCUCCCAAUUUCAAAAAUUACUAGCAAUUCCCUCUUCAAGCAGUCUGCAGAAAAGCUGUCAGGAGAGGUAAAAGGAAGAAAGAAGUCUAUUAAGGAAUUGGAUAUGGAUUAGACCAUUAAUGUUUUUUUUAAGAAGAAUUUUCUAAUUGUGUUGUUCCUAGACUCUGAAACAAUUUUAAUGAAUAAGCACAAGUGUCCUCUGCAGUUAUUUAAGGACAGACUACAUACUUACCCUCAAACCCGGCUUAUUCAAGGCACAUGAAUAGAAUAUGGAACUAAUUAGAGUCUCCUUAGCCCCAAAGAUGCUCAAAUCCCGGUUGUUCUGUGUCCCUCGAACACAAUCCCACCACACCAGUGUCAGUGCAGAGUUUGUAUCACAUCUGGAUCCCUGGAUACUGACUAAAUGUUAGACAACUGUGAGCUGCUAGCUGCAUCGGCGUUUAUCUCCUGGGCAAAUGCAAACACUUUGAGUACUGACGCAGAAGGGUCAGACAGAGCUACAAAUGGUGAUUCAGCUGGAGUCUGUAAAGGGAUGGCAGUCCUAAAACAAACCCUGGCACACAGAGGCUUGGACUUCCACUGGGGUUGUGCUGACUUGCUCUCUGAUUGAUGGUGCUACCAGAAACCACUUUAUGGAGUUAUAGCCUUGGGUGACAAUGAUUAUGGCUUGUAAUACUGGGGCUGUAUUUCCUAGAGCUUUCCCUCUAGGACUUAAAGGGAUUCCUAAAGAAAGCAGAGUGCCUGUCCCCUACACAGGAAUGAGGAGGUGCCAUUCAGGGAGCCUGAGCCAGGACAGGUUAAGGGUACUGCUCCUCAGUCUUCUCAUCUUUUAAGUGGGAAGAGUUACAAAAACCUGCCUUGCAAGAUGAGGCCAAAGUGACGAAAUAACUUAGAAGGCAUUAAAAAACUUAAAAGCCCUGUGCAAACAUCGUAGUAUCAGAAUCACUCUUUUUGCUGUGAUUGGAGCCUUUGCCCUGGCUUAGUACCACUUUAGUCCCCAUCACUCUGCCCUCUUCUUCUUUGUUUUCCAAAUCACUAUAACAAGGAGUCAAUGACAUGUACGGAAAGAAUCCGAGGACUGGAGUUGAAGUCCUCACUCAUCACUUCCUGAUUUGCUCUACCGGUCUUAGCUAAGUCACUUCAUCUUAGAAAUCCCAUUUGUUAACUGUAAAAUUGGGGCAAAAGUAUCUAACCUAUACUAGGUGGUGAGAGAAAAAAUGAGACACUUAUUUUAUUACAAAGCAUUAUACAAAUAUGUUAGGAUAAUUAUAAACAUUUCUUGGAAAAUAUUUCUAGCUCUUAGAGAAGCUAACUCCUUUACAGAGAAUAAGAAAAGUUGUAGCACUAAAAUAAAUCCUUUUCAGUGUGCAAAAGAACUCCUGUUUAAUUCACCAAAAGAAGCAUUUCAAGGAAAUAUGCUAAUUUUCCAGUCUGUGUCCCUCUUUCUGCUGCCCCUCUAUCACCUGGGCUGGGGGGAGGUUGACAACGAAAGAACAGGGCCCUGUGAGGGGAGGCAGGGUCAUUCCGGACCCCUCAGCCUGGUCAUCGUCCACUCGGGAAUGUUUCCUUUGCCCUCUUUCUGGGAGGCGUCAUCCUCUCCUGCUGCCAGUAAAGGUAGAUGUGGUGGGGACCAGCAAACACAAAAAUUCCUCCCUCAGAAGGUGACUUUCAGGGCUGGUAAGAUUUAAUUUAUUUCCCUGUGGCAACCAUCAGGGACAGACAUCUUUCACAGGCUGCUUGGGUACAUUUCUUGCAUGCUGGCGGGAUUUGGACACAUGCUAUGCUGUUCUUUUUCAACCCUGGAAAAGUAAAACAUUGCCCAAUGGGGAGCUCUCCAUUGACUUGUAUGUAGGGAAAUGAUGUAGCCAAAUUUGUGUGGUGGAAGUUUUGCAGACAGGAAAGCAGGAAGCGGCAAAUGAAAGAAAGACAGAUGCUCAUGAAUACAUUUUUUCAUUAUGUUCCCAGGCACUAAGUUUGCCUUUCUUGAUCUUUACGGUAUAAUUUUCCAGAUCAAGAUAAGCAUUAAGCAUGUUGUCUAUCUCCUCCUGCACAAUUCGCAGUUUCAGGCUGUGUUAGAAUGAUACAACUCAGAGGAUGCAGAGACAUUAAUAAGCCGAUGCAUUUAAAUAACAUUUAUCUUCCAAGGGUUAGAAGAUAAUGGAACGUUGCUUUUCUUUUUCCUCCUUCAAAAACUUGGCAUUUUUAUAAAACUUUGAAUUUCAAUAUCAUCCUUCAUGAGUCUAGUGUUCCCUCUUAAAAAGGCAGCCAUGUUAACAAAUUAUUAUAACAAAGAGUCAAUGAUACAUGCAGAAAAGAAUCAGAGGACUGGAGCUGAGGUCCUGACAUGUCACUUGCCAAUUUGCUGUAGGAGUCGUACCCAUGUCCCUUAAUCUUUGAAACUCAACUUUGAUACCUGUAAAAUUGGUGUAAAAAUAUCUAACAUAGAGCAUUGCAGUGAGAAAGGAAAAUGACAAACCUAAUUUUUAAUAAAGCAUUCUAUUAUACAUGUAUGUUAAGAUUAUUAUGUGCCUUUCUUACAAGCCACUGCAUACCUUAGGAGCAAUUUUCUUUUUAUACUAAUAUGCUAGUGGGAAACUAAGGCACAGAUGGAAAAUGUGCUUUUCACUACUACAAUCAAUAAACUAACAACUCCCCAAACUCUAUGAGCAGUCAAACUGUCCUAUGAACUUACAACUCAUUCAUUGAGUUGCCAGCUGAAUAGCCCACAAGCACCCAAACUUGGCAUGUCUUCUGAAUUUCCCCGACAGUCCUGCUCCUCCACCUGAAUCUUCCUGCAGAAGCCGUUCUUUCUUCCAUUUGCUGGCACACAUAUUUGUGCCUCUGGGUUGUGACUCCCAAAUCUUUCUCCAGGCUACUGACAUCUUAAUGAAGCUCCUCUUGUGUCCCUACUAAAUGCAAUAGCUUUGAGCUACACUCUCUGCCUCCAUUUUUCUCCUUCUGUACCCCUGAAAUCAUCUGGCCAGAGUGUUGUAAAUCAAAUGCAAAAUUAACCAUGCUGCUUCUAAAUGUCAAACACUUCUGUGGGGCCACAUGGACCAUAGGAUGAUCUCAAGCUUUUCUGGGUCUCAGGAUACAGAUAUCACAUAUCUCUUAUACAUCUUCCACUGCCAUUUCUACCUCUCACUGGAGCUGCUGGCAGCACCAAGGAAAUUCCCUGAAAGCUCCAUGCAAUUUUUUUUCAUAUCUCUGCCAUUGAUAUUACAUUGUCUGCAUAGACUCCCCUACCCCGUUCCUUUGCAUAGACUCCCCCACCCCUGUCCCUAAUGAGGGCAAGCUCCUCAUUAUCCUGUGAUCCCAGGAAUACCUCCACCAGGACACAACCAACACAUCACUACUGUGUCACCAUCAUUGAUAACAGGCCCUCCACUGCACUCGCUGGGCAUCACAUGGCACCUGCCAUUAUACAUUGUGACUUUAGCAUCACCUGAUACACCUUUCUGAGCAGAAUCCAUUGUGUUCAAGAAGUUUUCUUGUCACUGUUCGUACAAGAUAAAGGUGCCAUAAGCUAAAUUUGUUCAAUUAGGUGUUAGAAUUGCACAUGUUUGGUCAUACACGCACUCAACCAGCUCUGAUAAGGGUUUACUAUGUACUAGAUACUCUAGUAGCUUCUGGGUACUGCAGUGGCAAAGUGAUUCUUGGUAAGGCGUCCAGGUUGUGUACCAUGUAGUACCCGACGGUGGACACACACGCUUGCCAGGCAGUCACCAGGACCGUGGACAUUGUCUGAAAAUAGUCACAGAGCAGCAGAUAAUUCUGAAUUCUCACCAGCAGGGGUCAGUGCAGCUAAGCAGACGCCGCAAACUCGGCUAACACGGAGAAGCAUUAGGAGUUCGGUCUUGAAUUAAUACCACUGUAAACGUUUUCUAUUUAUAUGUGAAAAUUCACAUUUCUUUGCCUUUUGGGACCAGACUAGAUGUAUUCAUUCUCCUUUAAUGGCUUUGUAAACACCGUGCCUUCCGUGACCUGCCCCCUCCUCCCCGUGCCCAUCCACUGCUUCUUACUCCAUGAAGUGAUUUUAUUUUGAUUGUAUUCGUUUCCUAUAAGGAGAGAGGCUCUGAGUGAAUCACACAUCGGUUCAAAUGACUUUCUGAUUUGAGAAUGUUCCCAGGGGGGUGCAAUUCUUUUAAUUUAUUUAAUCCGAUGUGCUUUUUCAGAAUGGCUCUCCUCUGCAAAACAGAUGGGAGGGGACUGCCCAGCACUACCUCUCUUUCUCUCCACUACCCUGGAGGCUGGCCUCUGGACGUAAAGCAUGCAGGGGCCUUUGGGGCUGGAUGGUGCCCGGUCACCAGGCCGCCCUGCUUCUCCCACGGCACAGGGGCUUUUGACAUCAGAGGGGCCCCGGCUUGGCCUUUCUCUUGGGUGUACCUCUGUGGCCGGCCUGCCUCCUCGUUUUGUUCAGACGGAAAAAAGGACAGAGCAGCACAUGUCCUCAUCACUUAGAUCCACGACCGCUGCACAUAAAUCAUCCACACUCUUUGGGCACUGUGAUAAAUCAACAGGUGAAACAGGAGUAGGCACUGGAGAAGAUAUAACAGAUGCAGCCAACUUUGCUUCUGGACGAAGUUGUUCUCACCCCUGUAAUCCCAGCACUUUGGAAGGCCAAGGAGGGCGGAUCAUGAGGUGAGGAGUUCGAGACCAACCUGGCCAACAUAGUGAAACCCCGUCUCUACUAAAAAUACAAAAAUUACCCAAGCAUGGUGGCACACACCUGUACUCCCAGCUACUUGGGAGGCUGAGGCAGGAGAAUCGCUUGAACCUGAGAGGCAGAGGUUGCAGUGAGCCGAGAUCACUCCACUGCAGUCCAACUUGGGUGACAGAGUGAGAUUUUGUCUCAAAAGAAAGAAAAAAAGAAAAUCAUAAAGCGAUCAGGAGCAUGGCCGUACAGAUCAUAGGGACCUGGGUUUCAGCCUGGCUUGGCCACUUCCUAAGAAUGCGACCUGGGACCCAUGAAGAUGUGUAAGCUGCCCUUUCCUGGCAUGCAGUAAAGGAAUGAUACUGAUACCCAUUUCCAGGGUCGGUAUGAAGAGGAAAUGACAUAGAGCUUGCAAAGUGCUCAGAACUGUGCUGGGCACAGAGUGAGCAUCCAAAAAUCACAAGAAGAAUGCAUGUCAUUGUAACAUUUGCAGGCUACAUGCUAUAGAAAAAGCAUUAUUUUCCUUUUUAUAAUUGAAGGAAUUUGACUUGUUAGGUGCUCCCUACCUUCAUCUCUCAACCCCCAGGACGCACCUCUGUUGUUGACUUAUGUCUCUGCAUUGUCAUUGGAUUUUUUUUGUUUGUUUUUCUUUGUUUUGUUUUGUUUUUGAGACAAAGUUUUGCUCUUGUCACCCAAGCUGGAGUGCAAUGGCACAGUCUUGGCUCACUGCAACCUCGCCUUCCGAGUUCAAGCGAUUCUCCUGUAUCAGGCUCCCGAGUAGCUGAGAUUGCAGGUGCCUGGCACUAUGCUCAGAUAAGUUUUGUAUUUUUAGUAGAGACAGGGUUUCACCCUGUUGGCCGGGCUGAUCUCGAACUCCUAACCUCACGUGAUUCACUCGCCUCAGCCUCCCAAAGUGCUGGAAUUACAGGCAUCUUCAUUUUAUUUACAGGAUACUAGGACACUUUCCCAUCUGCUGUGCAGGGCAAUCACUGAAUCUUAAAUGUUCCUGCGUUUCUCACAUGGGGCAGAGUUCCUGCACACAGCAGUUGCUCCAAGAAUGUGGUAUGAAAGCAAGCUGGGCACACUGUCUGGGGACCCAGUGAGUCUUGGUUUGUUUACUUAUGGUCCCCCAACCUUAAGUGGCAAGCCAUUAGGCACCUGCUUACACUCAACAGAGAGAAAGCACCAACCCCCUAACGUUCCCAUUUCUCUAAGUUCGUCUUUCCAAAUACUUGCCUUGCUUUAUUUUUGAGAGAGAACUCUUUUGAUUUUAUUCUUGAGACUGGGUGUCGCUACUUUUGUCCAGGAUCUACACAUUGUUGCGUGGUGGCCCGGGAUCCCCCUCAGUGUCUCCUUAGAGACGCUAAGUUAUGGCCUUCAGUCACAUGCACUUUGUCACAUACCCAUGUGUUUUUACUGUCAGGGAAAGUGUCACUCUGGCAACAAGCUCCUCACCUCAUUCUCCAGAGCUUGCUACACUGGCCUGUCAUGACAGUUACUGGAGCCACUGCAGGGCGCCUUGUUUCCCCCAUCCCCUGCCCCCGACAACCAACCGGGUCUUUCUUUCUGUCUACUUGGUCCCUUCAUCAAAUCAGCUGCUCAAGCCAGAGACCCAGUGGCCUCCUGACCCUCCCUUUGGUAUAAUUCUGGCAUCUAAGUCAUUAUUAAAUCCUGUUGAUUUCAUCUUCAAAAUGCAUCUUGAAUUUUUUCAUUUCCGCUUUCCUCCACGGCUCACCCCUUGGCCAUUUCUGUGAAACCACAGCAAUAGACUCUGACUACCAUCUCACUCUCCCCCUCAUUUAAGUCACUCUCAUUGCUGGAGCCCGGGUGAGAUUUUGAAUGAGCCUGUGCUUCUCCUGUUUACCUAGGAACGACUUUCUGUUCCACUCUGGAUCCAAUCCUAAAUGCUUCCCAGGACUUGGGGAGCUCUGCGGUGUAUGGGGCUGCCUGGUCUCUCUCCUCACCACAUGCCUCCUCCCUGCCUCGGUGGGUGUUCCCAACCCCUGUGACCUGCUUCUAGGCUGAGAGGGCAGCACUAGCCUGCCUCCACCCAGGGACUCCCAUGUGGGGCUUUUCCUCCAUUUGGAAGAAGCCUCCAACCACCCCACAGCCACUGCCUCUCUCCCUUCUUCAGGCCAUUUGGGAUGCCCUUCCUACUGCGUCUACCCUGAUAUCCUCUGUCACUGUGAUCUAUUUAUUUUAAAAAUUAUACUUAUCACCAUUUGUAGCUAUAUAAUUAUAUUUGUGAGUUUGUUUAAUAUCUGCCUCACACGCUUGAUUAUCAGCUCCAUAAUGGGCACAGAUCAUCUCUGUGACUUGCCAUUUUAGACUCAGUGGCUGGAGAGUGGUAUCUGACACAGCACUGAUACUCAAAAAAAUUGCUUUGUAAAUGCAGAAGCCAACAUUUAUGGAAUUUUUCAGAAUAUUUUAGAACUCAAUUGACCUCAGGGUAAUGCAAACCAAAACCACUAAGAUACCACUACAUACCUGUGAUAAUGGCUAGAAGUUGAAAGCCUGACAGUACCCAAGUGUUGGGGAGUCUGUAGAGUCACUGUAACUAUCACACUGUUGGAAAGAUGGAAAAUUCUAGAACCACUUUGAAAAGUUGUAGUUUUUUCCUUAUAAAGUCAAAUACACAGACCAGACAUGGUGGCGCACACCCGUAAUCCCAGCACCUUGGGAAGUUGAGGUGGACAGAUCACUUGAGAUCAGUAAUUCAAGACUAGCCUGGUCAACAUGGCAAAACCCUGUCUCUAAUUAACAUACAAAAAUUAGCCAGGCAUGGUGGCAUGCACCUGUAACCCCAGCUACUUGGGAGGCUGAGGCAGGAGAAUCAUUUGAACCCAGAAGGCAAAGGUUGGAGUGAGCCAAGAUUGCACCACUGCACUCCAGCCUGGGCAACAGAGUGAGACGUCAUCUCAAAAAAAACACACACACCUACUAUAUAAACCAACCAUUUCACAUCUUGGUAUUUGUCCAAGACCAAUAAAAUCAUAUGUCUACACAGAGACUUGUACACAAAUGUUCAUAGCAGCUUUAUUUAUAUUAGCCAAAUUUGAAAACAAUCCAUGUCCAUCAACAGAUGAGUGGAUAAACAAUUAACAGUAAAUCCAAACGACAAAAUAUGACUCAGCAGUAAAAAGGAAUGCACUAUUGAUACAAGCAACAAUGUGGAUGAACUCAGGCCAUCUGACGAGUGGAAAAGGCCAGAUCCAGAAGAGUGCAGAUGGCAAAACUCUAUGAUUCCAUUUACAUGAGAUUCUAGGAAAGGCAAAACUAAUCUAAAGUGACAGAAAGCAGAAAUGUGAUGGUCUGGGGCUAAAGAGCCUUGGAGAUGGACUGCAGGAAGCAUGAGGUAACUUUCUGGGACAGUGGGAGUGUGGUUUUGUUGAGGGUGGUGGUUAUACAGAUGUAAUAUUCAUCAAAACUCAUUGAGCCACAUAGCUAAAUGGCUACAUUUUAUUGUGGAUAAAUUAUACAAUAAAAAUUGGUUUAAAAACCUCAGUUGAACACAGCAGGGCAUGUAAGUUAUAAAUGUGGAUAUAUACUGGAUAUAUACAUAUAUAUAUAUAUGAAAUGUACAACAUUUCACUCUUGGCCUAGGAGGAAUCCCAGUGACACUGAGGGUGAACACUGGCAAGGUGUGGAAGAGAGAACAAUGACCUUUCCUUGACAGCAUUUUCAGUUUACCAAAGCAAAGUGAAGCUUGGGCUCAAGACUUUAAGAAACAGACAGACUGUGUGUAGAGUUGCCAAAAAAUAGAGGAUGACCAGCUAAAUUCUAAUUUCUGGAUAAACAAGUAGUUUUAAUAUGAGUAUGUCUCAUGCAAUAUUUGGGACGUAUAUUUGUAUUAAAAUAUUUAGUCAUCUGAAAUUCAAAUUUAACUGGGCAUCCUGUAUUCUUAUUUGUGAAACUUGGCAACUUUUCCAGCAUGGCAUAUUAUCACCAGAAUGUUCAAAUUCAUAUGUGGAAGGAUUUUCUUUUGAACAAGUUUUGCAUUUUAUAAAGCUAUUCACACAGAAAAUAGGAAGCAACACUAUCUAGUGAAAGUAAUGUGGGUUUUAGAGCAAAUCAGACCUUGAUUCUAAUACCAACUUUGUCUCCUAAUUCAUUCUGAAGCUUUGGCCAAAUUGCUUAAUAUGCCUGCAAAGUAAGCAUAAUAACCACUAGUUCAAAGUUUUAUUUGAGGAGAGGCAAUAGAAGCAUGUUUCCUUGAAUCGAGAGGACUGUCUAUUUCCUUUCCUAGUGUUUCUCUGAACUGGCCAGUAGAGAUCACUGUCUUAACUUCUAGAAACAAUUUAAAAUUGUGAUGCCUAGACUGGAGACAGCAGCUCCUUGCUGGCAUUAGCUCUAAUUCUGAAAGGGCUCCUGGGUUGCAUCUGGGCUAUCACCAUCAAUAACCCACACUCUCAUUGGUGUCCAUGAAGGGUAGGUGUUGUGUCAAUGGUGGUAGGAAGGGGGAAGUCAUGUCAUUUUUACUGUCUGCUAACACUUCUUGAGGAAAGGAAAGGAAGGGCAGAAGUGAGAAAGAAUAGGAAUGGAGGUACUCUAGACAAACUAGAAGGGAUCUCCUCUUGUUAAAGAAUUGUUGGCAGAGUAUGGUGAUGCACCUGUAAUUCCAGCAUUUUGGGAGCCUGAGGCAGGAGAAUCACUUGAGACCAGGAGUUCAAGACCAGCUUGGGCAACAUAGAAAGACCUUGUCUCUAGAAAAAAAAUAAAAAUUCGCUGAGUCUGGUGGUGUGCACUUGUGGUCCCAGCUACUCGGGAAGCUGAGGUGGGAGGGUGACUUGAGUCCUGGAGGUUGAGGCUGCAGUGAUCUGUGAUCACAGAACUGCACUCCAACCUGAGUGACAGAGAAAGACCCCUAUCUCACACACACACAAAAAUUGCUAUAAUCAGGGAUUAUCGUAUCUCAGGAAAAAGAGGAAAUUUGAUUCACGAUGAAGAGAGAAAACGGGCUAGUCCUCUGACUUACUUUACCUGAUCAUAACACACAGGCCUAGGGUACUGGGUGAAAUUUAUGGCCAGUGAAUUCUCAGCCAUUAAACAGAAAUGCUCCUUUGUCUGCUAUGCAGUUGACCUCUGAGGAAGGUCAUUGAAGCAGAAUCAGGGACUAUGUUUAGAAAGGGGAUCCAGCAAUUUUAUGAUUUAUAAAAACUUGGCUGAUGAUGCGGCUUAGAACAAGGGCCUCAAAUGCCACCUCAGAGCCCUGGGCCACAUCCCAUGCCUUCAGCAGGGGCAGCCCGUCUUUGGGCUGCUACUCCUAAUUCCAUACAUUAUCUCCUUCCAGGAAAGGAGCAGCAUCUCUGGAAACAGCCACAUCUCCUUUGUGAUUCCAGUUUCCACAUAACAGGCCCAGUGCCGUGGCUCCAGCUCCUACCAGGAAGCUCCAGUUCUUACCAUCAGAAAGAUUACUUCUUUCUUUGGUUCUUCAGUCUUUGGCCUAGUGGAGACUUCCUGUCACUGCUAAUCCGUAUGUAGGGCUACCAUCUCCUCUUUCACUUCUCCAGAACUUUAUAACCAAUUCACCAUACUAAAUUCCUUCUCUUGGAGUCAUUCCAGCACUCCGCCUGACUAGCUCCUCAACCAUGUACCAGGGCACACCACUUUCCCCAGGGGUUUUAACCUAUCACCCUACCUACGACUGAUAUGUAGCUGCACAGUACAGGCAAACUUGAGUGAAAGAAUAUUUCGACACUGACUCUCUUCCUGCCCUUCUAGAACCCAUUUUCAGGGAUGUGUUAGGUCCAUAUUCAAUGCCAGGUGAGACGGGGCUGAGCAAAGAGAUGUUUCCAUUAGCUCAGGGGAAGUUCAAAGCAUCAAGCUGUGACAUUGUCGAAUGGAGACACUGAGGUGACGUGACGUUAAAUCCUCAGGUGGUUGUUAUUAUUAUAUUUGUUGUUACGUUUUCUUAAUGGGAUGCUAUUCCUAAGAUAUUCUUAUAAAAUCAGGAUUCAAAGUCAUCUGAUUAUUACACAAAGAAAUAACCAGAGUAAGAGUAGUUGGGACAAAGAUUAGUAAAAUGUGCCAGCAUUGAGGAAAGAAACCCACCUCAACAUUAAAAUGCAAAGAACAUGUUAAAAUGCCCUCAUGGAAAGUAUAUCCUACGGAUAAAAUGGAUAAGUAGAUAAAAGAUUUAAUGUUUAGCUACUAUUUUACUAACUUCAAAUUUUCAACAGAACUCCAUUGAAUAGUCUGUGUUUCUACAUGGAGCAUAUCUCGAAGAAUCUCCCGGUGGUCACCCUGAGCACUGCAGGCUCUGCUGAGAGCAAGUAGCCUUACUUAAGUAACAAGUAGGGAAGCCCAAGAUUGUAAGUUCACUAGAGGCUAUUUUAGUCAGUUUCACUCUAUCCUAGUUGGCUGCCAAUAGCAAGCUUCAUUUAAAUACCUAGCUACAAAUGGUACCAUUCUUUUCAUUUUCUUCCUUGAUCCUUUAAUACAACUUCUAUCUCCGCCCCCUUGUCCCCAACUCCCCGUCCCACAUCCUCACUAGCUAAUUGUAGCAAACUGAUGAUGUGGGCUAGUGAUAUAAUAGGCAUACUUCAUUUCUGGACAUUUCUGGGAAAGGGAUGUUAUUUACAUUUGAAAAAAAGUGAACCAUACUUCACUUUCAGUGUGAAGCACUGUCUUCAAAGCAACAUCCCCAAGCUCUUUUAAUGAGAGGAGAGGGAGAGACGCUUUCUUCAGCAAGAAACUAUUGUCCCCAAACUUAGAGUUUUCUGCCUAUUUUCUCAUCUUUCUCUUGCUUUUUUUCUUCCUUUCUCUUUCUUCUCUUUCUUUCUUUUUCUCUUUCCUCUUUCUUUCUUUCUUUCUUUCUUUCUUCUUUUUCUUUCUUUCCUCAAAGUUUCACUCUGUCACGUGGGUUACAGUGCAAUGGUACAAUCUUGGCUCACUGCCACCUCCGCCUCCCGGUUUCAAGCAAUUCUCCUGUCUCUGCCUCCUGAGUAGCUGGGAUUACAGGUACACACCACAGUGCCUGGCUAAUUUUUCCAUUUGUAGUAGAGAUGAGGUUUCACCAUGCUGGCCAGACUGAUCUCAAACUCCUGACCUCAAGUGAUCCGCCUGCCUUGGCCUCCUAAAGUGCUGGAAUUACAGGUGUGAUCCACCGUCCCCAGCCCUCUGCAUAUUUUCUUAAAGCCUGUACCUGCCUAGAUGAUUCAGCAAAGAAGCAGCGACUCUUGGAACAUGAGUGGGUCACCCGUUUUUAUUAAGAGAAGGAGGGAUCGACCCUCAAUAACUCCAUUCUAGGGUCAUCCAAAGAAAACAAAGCAUACACCUAUAUAGCUAUUGUUUGGAUUUAAUUCUUUGAAAACCUUCACAACUUUAUGAUCCCACUUAGAACGUGCUGCCAUCAUGAGAAGGUUCAGAGCUGCACACCCCAGUGCACAGGGAGGAUCAGAGUCACACAUCUUAAUGUGCUCUUUAUACCCUGGCCCUGUCCACAGGCAUAUUUAUAAGUCCUCUAAAGAACUGCUUCAGGCUUUUAUAGGGAAUGAGAAAAUAAUUCCAUCUUCAUGGUUCCAAGAGAAGUAUUCCUGGGGCUGCAAAACCAAUACUAUAGAGGAUAUGAUUGCCUGAUGUUCUGGAACCUGAGAGCAAACAGAAGACACUAUGCCAUUUACACAGCUCUGCAGAGCUUAUUCAAACAUGCAUGGGGACGUGGACACUUUCAUUAACUUACCAACUUUUCUUUCAUCUUCUCUUUCCUUACCUCUUAUCUCUUCCUCCUUUUUAAAAACUCAUUUGGAGAACACAAUGAUAUUUGUAACAAUUUGAUUUUCCUGGAGUAAGAAAUUCGCAACCACAUAAAACACAUAUGCAAGAGGUUAGAGAGAAGCUGCUCUUCCAUGGAAAUGUAGUUGCCUGAAAGUGCUUCAGAUUUUUUUUUUUUUUAAUGAUUUUAGUACUUGGCCUGUUAGGGCUUAUUUUCAUAGCUGCUACCAAACUUUAUAAGAAUAUGCUUUAUCCAGGUCAUUAAUUUACCUUGCUGAAAUUGAUAGUGUAGGAAGCAAGAAUCCAUUGAAACCUUGAUCCCAAAUGGAUUUUUUCUCUCCAGGAAGGAAUCCAAGUUUCAUUUUAUUUUUAGUGCUUUUUAAAGUAUUCUUCAUAGGAGGGAGAGAGCGAUGUGAGAGUGUUAAUGAAAAAACUAAAUAACUUUCCGAACAUGAACCAUCAUCUGAAAAACAGAAGCUAAUUUUGAAUUAUUAAAGGAGGCUGGAUCACAACUCACCACUGAGAAAUUGAGGGAGGGAAAAUGGUGUUUGGGAAGUCCAAUUAUUUCUGAACCAGAGACAGUCUUAUUAAGUUGGGCAGAAAAUUAAUUAGGCUAAUUAGAAAACCUCAUUGGAAUUCAGCAAGGAGUUAUGAGAAGAAACAUGACAACACUGGAAGUGUUGGGGGGAAGGUUCUAUGGAGAGAAAUGAGUUUUUCAGGAAGCAAUUGGAGGGUGAUUCACGCAUAUUGUGGUUGAUCAUUGGGUCACUUUGGAUGGAAGCAGCAGCGUUUUUACAGACUUUCUGUUCCCAGUUGUGGGUCUUCACUGAGUAUUAAAAAUGAUGUCUGGUGUAUGUUGCAAGGGAAAAAAGAAAAAAAAAUCCCUAAGAUUUAUUCCCAGGCUUCAGUGGGAUUUUAUAUUUAUUUUGGUAUUUCCGAUAUGCUGGUUCAUCAGCAUGGCGCAUUGUUAAAAAGUGCUGGGUGGGUGGUUUUUUAUCUUCACGGAUUUAUGGAGUCCUUAAAACAUCUGUUCCGUUCUGAUUCCCCCGCUCAGUACAAAGACGUUAGUCAGGGGAAGCAUCUCACACUGCACUGUUUCCACGCACUGACGUUGGCAGCGGCUAAUAGAGAUAACCCUGCUGAGACAAUCAGUACUGUCUGGGGGCUGGGGAGGGGCUGGGGUUCCAUCUCCGGGAAGAAUCUCAUGGGAUCUGGGUCCUGCAACACAAGAGGCUUUGAAGCGAGACAAGGAGGAAACCCAGGAAGGGUCACCGUGGUGUCUAAGGAAACCCAUUCCAGGGGACGUCAGAGCGUAGGAGGAGGACUGUGCCCAUGAAGCUGGAGAAUGAUCUCCAUGUCCCGCCUAAGCCCCUAUGACAGUGAUCUCUUCCCUUCUGGGGCUCUAGGGAAAGGAGGAGGCUUCCUAGCUCCUGGGAGAGAAUUAUCAGGGCUGCUGUUAUUUUUGAGAAAAUAGCUGCAACCCAGCCAAAACUACCAGGAAGGAGGGAAUCUUAAAUGAGAUGUUUUUCAUGUGGGGUGGAAAGGGCAGGGAAGAGGUGAGGAUAGAACUCCUGAUAAAAACUGGUGCUAGACUAAAUCAGAGACCCGGUGAAAGAGGCAAGAGGGAGGGAAGGGAACCGACAUGUCAGUACUUGGUAUGCAGUGAGGCUUUUUCGACAUAAACACAUCCUAUUUCUCACAGCAGUUCAGUGUAGUAGGUACCAUUAGUCACAUUUUAGAGGUGCGGUAACUGAAAUUCAGAGGGUUGAAGUCAUUUGGAAUCCACACCUAACAAGAAGCUGAAAUUAAAACCCAAGGGUUACAGAUGGAAUGUUUUAUCCUCCCCAAAAUUUAUAUAUUCAAAGCCUGACUUUUAGAAUCUGAAUGAUAGUAUUUGGAGAUGGGGCCCUUGAGAGUUAAUUAAGGCUAAAUAUAGUGAUGAGGGUGAGACCUGCAUGAUGGAAUUAGUGCCCUUAUAAGAGGGCUCUCUAUCCCCCACCCCCAUUCACUAUGUGAGGAUACAUGGGAAGGCAGCUGUCUGCAAGGCAGGGACACAUCCCUGACUUGAGCCCAGCCAUGCGGGCAUGGCACCCUAAUGUUGGACUUCCAGCCUUCAGAACUGUAAGAAAAUAAAUUUUUAUUGUUGAAGCCACCCAGCCUAUGGUGUUUUGUUACAGCAACCCAAGCUGACUAAUGUACCAGGUUCGUUUGUUAUCAAAGCUCCAGCACUUUCAGCAGCACCCUAGCACCUCAGGAGCGCCCUCAGUGGUAUCUGAAGGAACUGGACACUGCCUAGGUUUUCAUGUGGCUCACUAGAACAAUGGUACAAAGAGCCCUUAGAAAAGUUCUUGUGGUCUCAGGAUUGUGGAAACUGUCCCUGCUUAUUUGGAGAAGAACUCUAUUUUCACCUUCUUCUGGGGCAAGAUAAAAAGGAUCACAGGAUUGAAGAUGAGAUACCCGGAGCAGGGAGACAACAUGAUGACAGAGGGUUUGAGUUCUAUGUGUUCUUCAUCCCCAUAGCACAGUGACAGGGACAGAUGGGCAGCGUGGUCUGCAUGCAGGCCAGGGGCAGGUUAGAGCUGUAUGCUGGAAAUUGACUACCCAAGCUGGAGGGCCUGACGCCAGGCAGUCUGUUCUGGCUCCCCCAGGCCAGCAGGUGUGAUGGCCCUGUCGCCUGCCCUUCCUUGGCAUGGCCUCUCCUGAGGCCGUCCUUUUCCAGUCACCAGGUUUACUUGUCAAGUGGAGCCAAGUAAGGAGACAGGAGUCAAUUUGUUCUCCCCAAUAGACUGCUCCUCUGUCUCUUCCCAGCCUCCCAGGUGACACCAUUAUGAUAAUGCCCAGACUGGCUACUCUUAGAACAGAACUUAUGGAGAGGUGAGAGCUUCCUUGAAAUGUGAAUCACAGAGAGGCUGGCAGACCCUGGCUCUGUCCCCUGCUGGCUCUGGACAACAGCCUUCUGCCUCCCCAUUGUCACCGCUGAGCCAUGCCACGUGCUUAUUCAUGCUGCCUGCUGCUGGCAGCCUGCGAGCAUCCAAUCGUGCCAUCCAUUCAAACAACCUACUUGGUUCUGCUGACACCCAGGGAGACAGGCGGAUUCAGGGUGUGAAAUGUGUUGCCAUCACUCUGGCAUCCCCAUCUGAUCUCAGUCUUUAGAGCAGGUGCUAAUUUUAUGGUCCUCAGGUAGAGGAUGGUGUCCCCCAUUCCAGAUCUCCAUAAACACACCUUUAUAUAAAACCCAGGCAGCCAGACUGCCGAGCUUUGGUAUAAAAAAUUAGCAAGUCAGUCAGGAUAUUUGAUUUAACAUCAAAUAUUUUAGUCUUUCCAAAUAUUUGGGUAUGUUAAUAUUGUGAUAACACAACCCAGGAAAUGUCGUGAUGCAGUGAUUGAGUUUUGAAUAUUUUCCAAAACAGUGUUAUUCUCUACCUGUGGCAAGCAUUCCACCCCACGUGCACCCACUAGUCAUUGAAUCAAUGAAGUUAGUUGAAGAGUCAUUAUAUAAUACUUAGCCAAGACUAAAGCUAAAUUUUGAGAUAAUUUAAAACACAGAGAUUAAAUGUAUGCCACACGUGAUAAGCUGUUCAGUUAAGGAGAUUAUAUUAUCCAAGUGAUUUAUAGCCUUAGACAAAUUACUUGUGUUCCGGGGGUGAUAAAAUCCACAUACAUGUCUGAAUCUAGAAUGGGAACUUGGAGAGCUCGGGGUACUACAAACCCCAGGGAUCCUCAUUCCAGGGCCCAGGCUGCUCUGCUUCUUAUCCAUAGGCACAUCUUUUUUUCCCCAUUGCUUAAUGAUUUCCUCUUCCCCUUCAUUCUGUAAGCUGCUUUAUACAGUGCAUGUCCCCGUAGUUCCAGGAUAAUUUAUUAUUUAAUUAUGUAACCAUUACAUAAUUCUUCAGCUUUAGCCUUCAACAUUUCCAUUGUUGUUAAUAUAACUGCUAUCAAGACAUGUAAGUUUUAUUUAUGGUUUCCAUUGAGGAGCAAUAAUUAUGUAACUCUGCAAUUCGGCAACUAUUAUUUCUAUUUGUUUAAUUACCUCACUGUAACAAGAUUAAACCUCUAAAACAUUUGGUGAUAGAUUUAUGGUGAAGAUGCUAGGAGGCAGUAAUAACAAUGAUGUAUCAGAGUAAUAAUAAAACUAAAUAAUAGUAUUAAUAUUAAUAUUAAUGGCCAUAACGGUAAUAAGCGGCAACAUUACCACUUGCUUUUUGUUCACACUGUAUUUGGUCUUUUUAAUGGGUUUCUUCCCAAAUCUCUGUGGUUAAUUAGCUCUAUAACAUUUGGUACUCAGCAGUGGGUACCACCUCAUUUCCAGACUUUACCUGGCAAAGCUGUGCUUUAUACAACACCAGAUGGAACGGGUCUGUUUUGUCCUUUCUUAUGAGGUGGGGAGAGGGCAGAUUUAUCCCUUCCUCGUGUCACCUGGGGACCUUCCAUAGAUAGGAUGCCCUGUGUUGAGAGACACAGAUGUUGUAGAAUCCCAAGAACCUGAGAUGUGUUUGGAAACCAGCUGUUGUAGUCUUGGAUGAGCUGUUAUGGUGGAGAGAGCAUGGGGUUUGGAUUCCAACAGAUCUGGAUUGAAUUUUGGCUCUGCCACUAACUGGGUGACCUUGAGCAAAUUACCUAACCUCUGUAGACUACAGUUUUCUGAUAUCAAAAAGCGAGAUAAUUAUAUAAUAUAGUAAUAAUGUCUGCAUUGCAAGACUAUUGUGAGAAUUAAAUACAAUCAUGUGUGCAAUUACUUAGGGUAUAAUUGAUGCCUGUUGGCAGCUCUUGUUUUGGAUCUACCAGUUGAUGAGAUUAACGGGAGAACAUGACUUGAAGUUUCUCCUUCCUACAAAUCACCUUGUCCUCACCCUCCCAGGAGCUCCCUCAUCACAGAUGCCCCAAAGUCAUCAUAACUGUUAGAGAGAGCUAACCUCUAACACAGUGAGUGAUCAUUAUGGGCUGGAGACAUCACACACAUCAUCUGAUUAAAUCAUCACAGCCAUCCUGUAAGAGAGCUGUGACUGUUUUCAUCCAGGUGAGGACAGAGCCCCAGAAAGAUUAGAAGACGUGCCAAACGUCUUGCCACUCACUGGCAGUGGAGCCCAGCAGCGAUCUCCAGCUACACUGUGCGCUCCCCUGCAGGCGCGUAUCCUGAAAGCCACUUAAAGAACGUGCUGUGUGAGUGCCAUCCUCCUGGGACAAAUCCAAUCCCUGCUUCUCGUGGUGCCCAUACCAACCCAUUCUCCUCAGAGCAGCCAGCCUGAUCACUUGAAAAUGCAAAUUGGAUGCAUUAUUGCCUUUCUUAAACCCUCCGACGGCUCUCCAUUGUUCUGAAUGUAAAACCAACCUCCUGUCAGGACCUAAAUCUAAAUGCCUUUAUGAUUUGUCCCGCUUACCAAACUCCCCUCCUCCCACCUUCAUUACAGACCAGGACCCCACAUCUUCCCCGGCUAUGCCACGUUCAACCCCCACCUUGCUAAGGCCUUUGCACUCAGUUUCCACUUCCUGGAAAUCUUUCUAACUUAUCCUGUAGGCCUCAGCUUAUGUAUAAUCUCUUCUAGGAAAAUUCCCCCAAAAGCUUCAUGUAAAUCAACCCUAGCCUCAUGUCCCGUAUUCAUUAGUACACGUUCUACUUGUCUCAUGUAUAACCUGGACCAUGUAUGCAAUCAUUUUCCUUAUUCUUCUGAUCAUUUGGUUUUAUGUCACAUGUCCUUCACCAAAAUAUAAUCUUCAAAAUAAGGCCCCAUGCCCGGCUUAUUCAUAGUCAGACCCCAUCCAAACUCAGCGCCUGCAGCAAAGCAGACACUCAGGAAACAUUUGCUCACGUCAAUCUAAAAAGAAGAAGCUGACAUAAAAUUAAUCUAAGUAGAACGUUUACUUAGGCUAAGGUCAAGAACUGCGGCCCCUGAGCACAGAUUCAAGGAGCCCUGAGUAUACACUUCCAUUAACUGCAGUUACAAGUAGAUACUUAAAGGAAAAGGAGUGGCAGUUCCUGAGUUGAUCACCAAGAAUUUACAUUAACAUAACAUAAGCUAUGGACCUGAAUAUAAUGGUGAGACAGUUGGUCAAGAACAGUUGGCCUGGGUGUGGAGGGGCUGACUCAAGUCUCAUGCUGUUGUCUCUCUAGACCUGCAUACCUCACACUGUUGUACCCGAGCGAGUCAAGGAGUGCGCCACACUCUGAGAUUGAAUUAUGAGUCCUUUAUUAUGCCGGCAACCGAGAGGUGGCUAACGCCCAAAAUUCUCUCGGCCCCUAAGAAAAAUAUCAGGUGGUCUUUUAUACCCUAGUUUUGAAGGGGAGGGGGAAUCUAGCUGAAGCAAAGUUUUCACAAAAGCAGACUAAGCAAAAAAGUUAAAAGAUAAACUGGUGCAUGAGAGAUAAAACAGUGCCAGGUGUGAGGGGUAAAGUUGUCAUAAAAGACAUACAAUUUACAGAUGAUGGGGGCUCUGGGUGCUCGACAGCACCUGCAUUCCCAGGCCCUGCUGGUGCCACUUAACUCAGCCUCUUAUCAACAAAUGCAUUCCUGGAGGUGCCCAGUGUCAGCCUGCCCCAGCUACAUACUACAGUUACAUACCUAAUGGUGGGAAAAUAACUAAAAUGAAAAGCUAAGAUGGAGUCUGUCCAGCUCAAGAAACUAACAUAAAACCUGAACAGCUUUUAGUCUGAGAGAGAGUUUUAGCUGGCAAAAAGCAGCUUAUCACAACACAGCUUAGACUGCAGCGAGCUGUUUCUCAUUCCUCACUUACUGAAAGAAUGACUACUUACCCUCAUGUGUCCACAUAUGCCCUUUGGGUUUAAAUAGUUCCUGGGUCAUGGGAAGGAAAGCAGGUUGCAUUUUCCCAUGAGGAGCUGAUGACCAGCAUCCAAGAAGUGACAUAGCACCCACCUCCAGAAGCUUGGGUCUGUUGCUGGGUAUCCAGGGCCUGGAGCCGAGAGCACAGCAGGACUAGGCUAUGGUCAGCCCAGGUGCAGAGGGCGAUGCAAGAGAAUGGCAGCAAAGUCACAUGCACUGAGGGGUGAGGGAGAGCCAGCUUGUCAUGUCUCCAUACACGGGAGGUACAUCAGGGCUGUCGUUCUAAACUGGCAUUUGAGCAGAAACUCUGGGGCUGUUUUGUAACCCUGACAUUCCCAGGGGUCACACCGCAGCCCCCACUUCUGCUGAGAAUAUCUUUCGUUUGUACAAUUAUCAACCACAGAACUCAGACAGAGCAGCCUCCAUGAUUCCACCUGUCCUUGAGUUAUUAUUAUUUUAUUGAAGCAUUUUCCUUCCUUGGGUUAUAUAUAUGUGUGAUUUUAAAAAUAUAAAUGACAUUAUUUAUAGCAAGGCGUUCUCUCUCCUUUCCACUGACGAUUUUCCUUUUCAAUCAGAUUCUUUUCAUUUUACACAUCCCAUUUGAGUCACUGCCACGUGAAUAACGGGGCCCAUAAAUAUUCAGGCCCAGCCUCUUGAUCCCUCUCCUAAUCCCAUUUUUCUUCUGACUUCACCUUCACUAGAAUAUUUCCCGUCCUUUUCCCAGUGGCUUUGUUACCACAAUCGUAUCUUUUUUGCCUUGUCUUUGCUCCUGUUUUUUUUUUUUUAAGUUUAAAUUAUUCACUGAUAUAACCAAGUAAAUGUCAGUUAACUAUUUCAGUCCUCUCUCUGUGUGUGUCUGCUUUUGUGCCUAGGAAACUGGACAAGGCAGUCAGUCUCACAUAAGGGUCAACAAUUCAGGCUCCAGAUUCCUGAUUUACUGAAUUCCCAAAGACAAAUUACUUAACCAACUGCAAAAAGAGUUCAACCAUCUUCCUCACAGGAUUGUUGUAAGAAUUAAACAAGAAAAUCCAUGCAUUGGCCAGGCACAGUGGCUCAUGCCUGGAACCCCAGCAGCUUGGGAGGCUGAGGAAGGAGGAUUACAUGAGGCCAAGUGUUUGAGACCAGCUUAGGCAACAUAGCAAGACCCUGUCCCUGGAAAAAAAAAAAAAAAAAAAAAAAAAGAGAAGAAAAUCUAUGUGCUGUGGACUACAUGUUUGUAUUCCCUCCAAAUUUAUAUUGAAACCCUGACCCCCCCAUGGGGUAGUAUUAGGAGGGGGACUCUGGGAGGUGAUUAGGUUUUGAUGAGGUCACAAGGGAAAAGUGCUCAUAGCAGGAUUUGUGAAUCAUAAGAAAAGACAGAGUUAGAGCAAUGUAAGAACACAAAGGAAAGAGAAGCCUCUGCAAACCAGGAAGUGAGUCCUCGCCAGACACAGAGGCCACCGGCACUGUGACCUCAGCUUCCCAGAGUCCAAAACUGGAGAAAAGCACUCAAACCCUCUUCAAGCUUCUGCUUCUGAAACUGCUAGCAGGAAAACUCCAGUGAAAAAAGAUAAGACUGGAUGCAAGGAGGGAGGAAAGAAAAAGAAGUGAAAGAACAAAGAAGAAAAAUAAGUGUUCAUGAGGAACUAAUUAUUCUGGUAUUUAUAAAGAAGUGAUUGUUUCUUUUUUUUUCUGAGAGAUCAAAAUAUAUGGAUCUCAUUAAUCACAGACAUUUGGAUCACGCUGUCCUGCAUGAGCCCCACACAAUCCUGCCUGCGGAGGAGACAGCAUUAGCUCACUUUUACAAAUGAGGUAAACUGGGAGACUCAGGGCACUGGUGAGGAGCACAUGAGGUGGCACAGCCAAUAACUUGGAUCCAGGCUUUUGGUAUCAAAUGCUGUGCUUUUCCACCUUGCCUCAAGGUGGGCUUGAGGAGAAAGAAGCACCUAGAACAUCUCUGCCUACAUAUUCCAAACCAAUGGAGAAACACACUGAGAAGUCACAUGAAGGAUGACAGCAUCGGUUUUGUCACUGGUAAUAAAUAGUAUCUAUUCCAGGCUCUUCUUUCAAUGGCAGGCUGCUGGCAGAGGGGAGACUGCAUCCUGGGGCACCCCUUGCCAGUCACCUGGCAGAGGGGAGACUGCAUCCUGGGGCACCCCUUGCCGGAGUCCAGGAGCUCACGUGCUCAGGAAGUCUCCCAGGCUGACCAGUCAGCCUGAUCUCUUCUUCCCUCGCAUGAAGAGCCAGUGAGAGGGAGAAGGGGGCCGAUGUAUGUUUCCAACUCACAUUCUUUCGCUGACGCAAGAGGACUCAGCAACAGGUUCCUCCCAGAUAGUCCAUGUUACUAUUUUGUGUGUUUAUUUGUUUUAAUUAAAUCCUUCUUCCAGCUAACCAGGUGGCAGGAUUCCAGUCACCUGAUUUGCCCCUCCCCUGACAGAGGAGACAAGAUGGCCCCAGUAAGCAGCCCAGGCCUUGGCUUCUUCCCCUUUUGCAUAAAAGGUGGAAAACUCAGGGUGUGAAAUGUCAAAGGGAAGAUGAGGACUGUAGCUCCAGACCUAUUGUAGCUUUAGAGAGCUGGAGUCAUCAGCACAGUUGACUCUCUUCCUUUUAUCAGCCACAGAAGUACUCACGUUUCAAAUGACAAAUCUCAGGCUUCCAAGGGCAGUCAGUUCAGCUUUCCUGCCUGUUCUUAGGGAAGUCUGAGAGGAAUUACGUGUUUCCUUUCCAGCCCCCAGGGUUAUGACCACUUCUGAGCCAUGUCUUCACUGAGUUAUAAGAGUUCUUUAAUAAGAAAUGUCUGAUAAGUUAAAUCAAUAGUCUGUUCGUGAAGAUGAUGGCUUCCAGGUGCAGAAAUCCCCAAAUUCUGAGCUUCAUGAAAUGGAACUAGAACUGUCUGAAGCCUUCCAUUGUUUUUUGCUCUACCAGUCAGGAACACUGUCCCUUCCCAACCUCACUUUGCAGGUUCAAUGUCAGCCUCAUCAGUAUCACUGCCAGCUUCCUCACUUUCUUCUGCCACUGUUUCUUGGGUCAGUCCGAUCAGACUUCAACCACUGAAUAGACAGCCUAUAUGUCUGUCCCUAUUUUUGAAGUUCACAGCUUUUGGCGUGAUACAGUUGUUCUUUCUGCUACCGUUCCAUGCCCCAAACAGUGGUUUUUGCAAAUCAUCGGAUUCAGGAUGAUGUCUCUUUUCAUGUUUACUAUAGCACUGGUGACUCACAAGAAAAGUCCUCUAAGAACAUGCCUAGAAAAACCUGAGACCCACUUCUCAGAAUGACCUGUAAAAUGCAAACACAAAUGUACAGCUUAUAAAAACAAGUUUAGCAAUAAAAAAUAUAUAGUCUCCUGAUACAUAGCAUCUUGGAAACUCUCAAACCCCUGCCUCCAUCUCACUGUAAAGCUUUUAUCAAUUAUAUUAUUCUUAUUUAUGACUACAGUAAAAUGCAGUAUGGUUUUUAUGAAAUUCUGUAAAUGUGCUGCUGGAUAGGAAGGUCUCAGGCUUUGUGCUUUGUUCUGUGUCCAUUACAUAGAUGAUAGGCUUGGAAAUGAAGGUCCCAAGGUUUUAGUCAUGAUUAUUGCAGAAUAUGACUAGGUUAACACCACAAUCUAUUCAGUACGCCAUUCAGGAUAUAAGGGGGCAUGCUCUGGGCCUUAAUCAUCUUCAUAAUCUGAUUAAACCCAGUAGCAGCUUAAAGCUACAAGGCCUCCUUUGGGCCCAAAUAUAUAUUUUGGAGUCAGAAACUAGUAUUUUCAAGAAUGGCAGUGCUGUGAUUGAAUCACACCGAAGGCGACUGUCUCAGAUCUAGCCAUUUCCUGAACCUGCUGUGUACACAUUGGAGCUCAGUGGACUCCUCCUCAAAAGUCUUCCUUAGCUCCAUCUCUCUUCUGUGGAACACACUCAUAGCUCUGUAACCAGGAGGGAAUACAGUAUAGAGCCUGCUUCCUGCAUUUCUGAGACAGUCAUGUUGUUUCUCUUUGACUUAAAAUGACAUCUGAAGAAAUUUAACAGUUCUAUUGGUAGUAAUGUGAAAUAGUAUAUGCUUUAUGAAGAAGUCUGGAUGAAACAUGACAGGCUGAAUUGAACCCAUUGUGAGAAGAUAUCCUUCAUAAUUCCCAGGGUGUUUUCCCCUUUCGUUUUCUAUCUUCUUAUGCCAUUCUCAAAUCUAUUUUUCAUUAUUUCCUCCCAACCUAAUCCCAAGUUUCACUGUUGUUUGUUUAUAUGUUGCUUUUCUACUGUCAUUUAACUUAAAAGUUAUUGAAUUCUGACUGUACUUUAACCUCAUGCUAGUUGCUGAUUAUCAAGCCCCUGAUUUGAAAUAGACACAGUUUCGGCCGGGCACGAUGGCUCACGCCUAUAAUCCCAGCACUUUGGGAGGCCGAGGCGGGUGGAUCAUGAGGUAAAGAGAUCGAGACCAUCCUGGUCAACAAGGUGAAACCCCGUCUCUACUAAAAAUACAAAAAUUAGCUGGGCAUGGUGGUGCGUGCCUGUAAUCCCAGCUACUCAGGAGGCUGAGGCAGGAGAAUUGCCUGAACCCAGGAGGCAGAGGUUGCAGUGAGCCGAGAUCGUGCCAUUGCACUCGAGUCUGGGUAACAAUAGUGAAACUCCAUCUCAAAAAAAAAAAAAAAGAAAUAGACACAGUCUCUGCUCUCACGGAGCUUGCGAUCUGAAGAGACUGUGUAUGCAUGCAUAUUUUCUAGCCGCAAUAGACAUGGGGAUAUAUCACAUUUUUAUUUUUACAGAGUAUAGUAGGCAGAAUUCUAAAAUGAACCUGUAGUCCAUCCUCCCACCCCCUUACUCACCCUGUAAAAUCUCCCCACCUUGAGUGUGGGAGGCGCCAGUGAGUGUCAGGAGAUAUCACCCCUGGACUAGAUUACUAAUCAAUUGUCUUUAAUCAAAAAAGGAGAUUAACCUGGGUAGGCCUCACCUAAUCAGGUCAACCCUGUUAGAGGGAAGGUAACAGAGACACCUUCUGCUGGCCUGGAAGCAGCCUAUGGGAAAGGAUCACAUGUCUAGAACUGAAGCCAGAAUGGAGGAACAGCCAGCAAGAAAACAGGACCUCAGCCUUGCAGGUGCAAGAAACAGUUCUGCCAGCAGCCAGAAAAAGCUUGCAAGUGGAUCCCUCCUUACUUCCAAGUCUCUAGAUGAGGAUGUGGCCAGCUCACACCUUGACUUUAGCCUUGUGAGAUUCUGAGCAGACCACCCAGCCUGAAUGUAAAGACUCCUAAUCCAUGAAAACUAUGAGAUAAUAAAGUUCUGUUACUUUAGGAUGUUAAGUUGGUAAUAAUUUGUUUUGCAACAAUAUAAAGCUCACACAUGGAGUUUAGACCGAAUGCAAGAGAAUCAGAAAGGAGGAAAUGCAUUAUUCUGAGAAGUGUCAGGAUGUCAUAGAGAGGAAGGUAUUAUCUGAGGUAAGGCUUAAUAGAAGAGUAGACAUUUUUCAGACAAAGAGAAGAGAUAUUUAUGGCUGCGAUGUCAUCCACAAUAUGUUUGUAGAACUCAUGCACUGACAUAACUAAAGGGUAGGCAUUUUAAUCUGUUCCUGCUGUUAUAACGAAGUAUCUUAGACUGAGUAUCUUAUAAAUAAUGGAAAUUCAUUCUCAUAGUUCUGGAAAAGCUGGGAAGUCCAAGGUCAAGGUGUCAGCAGGUUAGUGUCUGGUGAGUAUCUAGUCUCUGCUUCCAAAGUAGCGCCUUGUUGCUGUGUCCUCCAGAGGGGCCAAGGCUGUGUCCUCACGUGGUGUAAGGGAUGCAGGGGCAAAAAAGGGCCAAGUUGCUUUCUGAAGGCUCUUCUGGAGCCCUCAUGAACUAAUCACAUCCCCAAAGACUCAUUCUUUAAUACCAUCAUUUUGGUGAUUAUGAUUGAAUAGAUACAUUAGAGAGACACAUAUGUUCAAACCAUAGCACUAGGGUACCUAUGCUUAUGUUUCUUUUUCCUUAAGACAAGAAUUUCAAAAUUGUAUUUAUGAACUUUUCCAUGGGUAAGGAAGUGAAGGUAGCCUUUGUUAGUUUCCCAGAUCAUUAAUGGCCCCCACCUAUGUUGAUGUCCCACAUUUUCUGUAGCCCCUUUUUCAACAUUAGUCUCAUGUUGAUGCAUUUUUAAAUCAGAAAUAAAUUAUAAAUGCACACAGGAAAAAGUUGAAUGGACUUUUUUGCCUUGUCUUAUAACAUCUUCUUUUCUUUCUGACUGCUCACAUUCUGGUACGGCUAAUACGUUGCUUCAAACUCAUAACCUAACCAUCUAAUGUCACGUACUGUCUUGUGAAAUACAAUGUCUUUAUCAAAGAGUAGUUAGUAACCCGACUGCGAUCCAGCUUCAUUUUGCCCUGCACUUUCUCCGAGGGUGCUAAGCAAGUACAUGAUCCUCCUUCAUUUUAUUGCACGGUCUGGGUCCUCGUGCAUCAUGCUGUCAGCUACGACUGCAGGACUCACUGUACAAUUCCCCCAAGUGUGUUAAAGCCCAAAUCCAAUAGUGUUAAGGACCUCCAGUUCCCUACAUCUUCCGUCGUCCACUUUUAGACAGUCAAUAGCUUUGCCUUCUUCUAUUGUCCCAGUGUUGUUCCAAAAUUGCUCUGAAACCUUCUGCCAAGCUUACAGUACUUAAUCAUCAGCGAAUUCUUCAUAAAUGUCAGUGGGAGACGCCUCAGUUCUAAGAGCUUUCCUUUAUCUCCAUAGCCUUUAUUAGGCUUCCUACCCCUCAAGCACUGAUUUUUGCCCCUUACAACCUCAAUUUCUUCUUCCUAACAGCAUCUCGGUCAGAACAGGGGUGGGCUUCCCCAUUUCUUCUUUGCUCCUGAUGUCUGUCUUCUCCUUGGGGAAGCCCAUUCUUAUCAUUCACACUAACCCUUGACUUUUCACACAAUUAACACACUUUUUUUAGGGAGCUGAUACAAUCACUGUCAAAAGUCCCUUUGCCAUAAUUCUUUUCUGGUAAAACAGUCCGCAUUUUUUUAUUGUUUUCUCUCUGAAAUAGUCUUCUCCACCGAGUAUCAUUCCAGCUAGGCCAACUGAGCUCUAUUCGUCAGUGUUUUAUUCAUGGCAUGCGGAAUAGAUGAGGAAUGUAAGAUAUUUUGGCUCCAAAUAUGAUUUUUCACCUUGUUUUAGGCAAUUGUGAGGUCACAGAAAAUGCUAGUGAGAGUUUAUUCUACAACUUGCCAUUAAGGGAUGCCCUCAGAGCAGUUCUCUUUGUGGUUUCCCAGAAUGCGUUAAGCUUAAGGUGAAGAUAAUCUGCCUCAGCAUUCAAUGUGAGUGUAUCAUUGACGCUCUGAAUGCCUCUGUAGGCUCUUCCCUCCUAGAUGUGUGUGUCUUUCAGAACAGACUUGGAUUUCAGAACGGCUAGAGAACCUCAGGCUGCUGGAGAAAUCCUAUAAUGUCUCAGGAGAAACAGUGCACAGGCUCCCUUCCCCUUCCUCUUUCUCUCCUUUCCCUGCAGUGGCUUCCCUAGGCUCAGCAAAUGCACAUCUCUCUGGAAGUUUUGUUUUUAUGGGAGUUGGAAAUGAGCGCUCCAAAGGUGAAUAGUUGCACGGUUUACAGUCAGUAUCCCAUUGCUUCUAUUCCAAUAUCCCUAGAUCAUAGUAGGUCAGCACAGGGUUCCUCCAGGGGAAUGCUGCGCUUCCAGCUAAUCCACAAUUUACAAAACAAUCACCUGUGUUUUAAAAAAUACAUAUUCAAAAAAUAUUCAGAAAAACUGAUGCCUGACUUUCAAAAAUGUUAGAUUUGGAGCAUCAUGACUCAUCUGUAGUUGGUCCCUUUAUUUAGUUUACUUGGUUUAGUUUAAUUAUUAGUUCACUCAGUUUAGUUUAAUAACUAAUAAUUUCUACUUAUUCAUUCACUUGGUUUUACUUUUUGCUGUGCAUGGCACCUGCUUCACAAGGAAAAAGAUAAUGUGUCUCUUCCUGGAAGUGAGCUUCUCUGCCAGGCAAAGAUGAGAUGACAUUUUGGAUGAUUUUUAGACAGCAGAGAUCAACAUGACUAAAAAUUUGUUAUUUUAGUUAUUCUUACUUAAUAAAUCCCCAAAGAAAAACAUUAGUCCCUGCAUUUCUCUCUUCCCUCUGUUGACACCACUUGUAGGUAGUCAUUUAGGGAAUAUCUCUUCCAGAUACUAGUUUUGAUAAUUUCUUCCAUCCAAAAAGAGUAGUUGUUAAGCAACUCUUGGUAUAUGGUACAUCCUGUACUCUGUCUGACUUAGGAACAGCAUGAAAAGCAUUGCAUAUACUUUGGUCUACUCAUUCUAGGAGCUUUUAAUUCAAGAUGUAGAGUAAUGUAAGGAACUCAGUCAACAUGAUGUCUAUGGCUAAAUGAAUGCUUCUGUGCUAAAACACAGUGGUAAUGUGAAAUUAAUGUGGAGCCGGUGCAAGUUGUGAGAGGAGCGAUGCAUAAUAAGUGACUAUUUGGGAUAGUGCAUUUAUUAGGGCAGACUAAGUGCUUUGACAAAGACGACCCACACUGCUCAUUGUGCUUCCAGCAUCCACAGGCCAGGAAAGUCACCAGAAGUUCUUUCCUGGAACAACAGUGGGGCCUGCUUUAUUUCUCUGCAUUUAUCUCUGGCCCCUGUGUCUCUCUCUGUCAAGGUGAUGCUGAGUACCUUGAAGCUAUCUGGAAUAAUAAUUCUGAGUGGAAGCCCCACUCUUGAUCAGGUUCAAGCUACAAAGUUGUGUCAUUCACCUAAUUGAGAAGUUUUAGUAGACAUUUGUGGCUCAAAGGCUUUUAAAAUCUUAUUUCACAUUGUUUGUCCUCCAGAAGCUGUUUCCAACCUGUACGACUCCAAAUUUCUGAUACUUUAAUUCUGUUUCUUUUUGUGUGCAAACCAGUGAAUUCUAUCUUGAACUCAUCUUUCUCGAAAUACCUUGCCAAACACAGUGAGGGAAGAGCAACAUAUGCUAGCAUUCUGGCUCUUUCCUGCUACUUCCCUGAGAUGCACAGGCUCAGUAGGCACUUGGUCUGCCUUCCACGUUAACAAGGGUGACAGUUUUACCAAAUGUUUCACUACAGCAGAGGAGCAAUUUCCAGCUUGCUAGGUCUGUUUCCUCAGUGUCUACCACAAAACUGCUAAGCUGGUGUCAGAUAUUUUAGACAUCUUGGUUUUUUUUCUUCUUUUUUUUUUUUCUUUUUGGCAGCAUCUACUUCAAGGCUUUGACUUCUGUAUUAGGGUAACAUUUAGCUGGUGCAACCAACAAAUUCCAACACUGAACGGCACAACAAAAUAAAGGUUUAUUUUUUUCUGUACGUAAAUCCCAGUGCAAGUGUUCCUGGAGCAAGAAAAGAUAGCUUUCCUCCACAUGGUGUCACAGAGAUCCAGGUUUCUUCUGUCUUGUGACUCCACUAUGCACUAGGGCCUUUGAGUCCUCAGCAUCCCACCAGCUGAAGAAGGAAAAGUAGGAGGCUUUUGUGGACCGGUCUUGAAGGUGGUACAUAAUACUUCUGUUCAUUCCUAUUUUGGUAGAACUUGGUAAACACUAUACCUAUAUGUAAGACACUGGUGAAGGGGUCUCUGGGCAGCCACUUCUCAGCAACAACUGUGCAUGUACUAUAAAAGGUUGAAUCCUGAAGUUUGGGUGGCAGAAAGCUGCUCCUGCCAUACAUGGAAAAGGUUUUGGAAGAAAUUACUCAUUUCUAUUAUUGAGGGAAGUAUUUCGUGUAUUUAUGUAUAUUGCCUAUAACAUCUCCACCACUGCCCACCACUCUCUUGGCAGAGUGCCUUUCUUUAUAGGCCUGAGCUAGACAACCUGGUUGGGGAAGAGUUAAUGUUAAGGAGAAAUACUAGACUCAAUAAAGAAAGUGCAUACACUCACACACAUGCACAUACCCAUACACAUAUAUCUUUUUUUUUAAAUUAUACUUUAAGUUCUGGGGUACAUGUGUAGAUCUUGCAGGACAGUUACAUAGGUAUACACGUGCCAUGGUGGUUUGCUGCCUCCAUCCCCCACCCCGCCCCGUCACCUACAUUAGGGAUUUCUCCUAAUGUUACCCUCCCCAACAUCCACAUGCCCUGCUAUCCCUCCCCUACCCCCCGCCCCCUAA